CCUACGGGGCGCAGCAGUAGGGAAUAUUGCUCAAUGGGGGAAACCCUGAAGCAGCAACGCCGCGUGGAGGCUGAAGGUUUUCGGAUUGUAAACUCCUUUUGUUAGAGAAGAUAAUGACGGUAUCUAACGAAUAAGCACCGGCUAACUCCGUGCCAGCAGCCGCGGUAAUACGGAGGGUGCAAGCGUUACUCGGAAUCACUGGGCGUAAAGAGCGCGUAGGCGGGAUAGCAAGUCAGAUGUGAAAUCCUAGGGCUUAACCAUAGAACUGCAUUUGAAACUGUUAUUCUAGAGUAUGGGAGAGGUAGGUGGAAUUCUUGGUGUAGGGGUAAAAUCCGUAGAGAUCAAGAGGAAUACUCAUUGCGAAGGCGACCUGCUAGAACAUAACUGACGCUGAUGCGCGAAAGCGUGGGGAGCAAACAGGAUUAGAUACCCUAGUAGUC
rnacentral:rRNA from 1 species